AAAGUUAUCUCCAGGUGAAAAAACCUGGCUUAAACAAAAAGACAAGAAGACCCUAAAAGCUUAAAAAUUAACUAUUUAAUUAUAAACAGAAGUUUUUAGUUGGGAGGACUACAAAUUAACUAAACAUUUGUUUUAAAAAGACCACGUCUAAUUAAUUUAACCAAAAAAAGAAUAUAAGUAAGCUACUUUAGGGGUAACAGGCUAAUAUUCUUUAAGAGUACACAUUGACAAGAAUGUUUGGCACCUCGAUGUUGGCUUAGGAACCCACUUU
rnacentral:rRNA from 1 species